AUGGUUUCGUUUUGAAAGGCGCUUUACGGUGCCGCUGAUGGAUGGACCCGCGGUGCAUUAGCUAGUUGGUGAGGUAACGGCUCACCAAGGCCACGAUGCAUAGCCGACCUGAGAGGGUGAUCGGCCACAUUGGGACUGAGACACGGCCCAAACUCCUACGGGAGGCAGCAGUAGGGAAUCUUCGGCAAUGGACGAAAGUCUGACCGAGCAACGCCGCGUGAGUGAAGAAGGUUUUCGGAUCGUAAAACUCUGUUGUUAGAGAAGAACAAGGGUGAGAGUAACUGUUCACCCCUUGACGGUAUCUAACCAGAAAGCCACGGCUAACUACGUGCCAGCAGCCGCGGUAAUACGUAGGUGGCAAGCGUUGUCCGGAUUUAUUGGGCGUAAAGCGAGCGCAGGCGGUUUCUUAAGUCUGAUGUGAAAGCCCCCGGCUCAACCGGGGAGGGUCAUUGGAAACUGGGAGACUUGAGUGCAGAAGAGGAGAGUGGAAUUCCAUGUGUAGCGGUGAAAUGCGUAUAUAUAUGGAGGAACACCAGUGGCGAAGGCGGCUCUCUGGUCUGUAACUGACGCUGAGGCUCGAAAGCGUGGGGAGCAAACAGGAUUACAUACCCUGGUAGUCCACUCCGUAGACGAUGAGUGCUAACCGUUGCAGGGUUUCCGCCCUUCAGUGCUGCAGCUAACACAUUACUCACUCCGCCUGGGGGGGACGA
rnacentral:rRNA from 1 species